rnacentral:tRNA from 1 species
GGGAUGAUGGUUCAGUGGUUAAGAGCAUGGACUGCUAUUUCAGAGGACCUGGGUUUAACCCCUAGUUCCCA